UUGAAGAACAAGCAAACGAAAG
rnacentral:piRNA from 1 species